UACGUAGGGGGCGAGCGUUAUCCGGAAUUAUUGGGCGUAAAGGGCGCGUAGGCGGCAUGAUAAGUUAUUGGCGGCAAAUCGAGGCUCAACCUCGUGGAAACUGAUAAUACUGUUUUGCUUGAGUACAGAAGAGGUUAACGGAACUCCAUGUGGAGCGGUAAAAUGUGUAGAUAUAUGGAAGAACAUCAAUAACGGCGAAGGCAGUUAACUAUGCUGUUACUGACGUUGAGGCACGAAAGCGUGGGGAGCAAAAAGG
rnacentral:rRNA from 1 species